rnacentral:lncRNA from 1 species
UUUAGAAACUCUCUGCAACUACCUCUGGAAGAAUGAGUAACAUCAGGGUCAUAAGAAUACUUCUGACCACCUGCACGUCAGGAAAAUAGCUGCCUCCUUUUUUCUCACCUCUUCUUACUGUUACUGCCUCAAGGUUGGGCUGCAGCUGGAGAUAUGCCUUUGAUCCGAGAUGGAGAGAGCACUUGUGCAGACUGCAAUAGCAACUCCUACACCUCUGAGAAGCUUACACCUGGUGUGGGGACUCCAGCCCAUGAAAAAGCCCAAGUGUAAAUAAUCUUAUUCACAAAGACCACUCCUUACAGUCUUGCAGUCCUGUUCUAGUACAUAGUCCAUGUCUGUGUCAAAUGCAAGCUGCCGCUUUUAACCAUCAAAUCCUGAAUUCAUUUUGACCCUCUUACUUGAGGGACCUUGCCUCUAUGUGACACUGGAACACCUGGGGUCCAGUGAGCUCCUGUCAUGUGAAAGCUUCUCAGGAUAUUAAUUAGGAACAGGACCACCAAGGUUUUCUCAGUGAGAUCCUCAACUCCAGCACCUAAAGGGUAUUUCAUUCCAUUGGUACCUUCACAGCGCAUCACAAUGCUCAUCUGUUCCCCCGGGGUGACAGCAAGAAACAUCACAAUGGAUGCUGUGAUAAUCAGUACUCAUUGCUGUGGGAGGCAGGGACCUGGUUUCCAAAGUUUCAAUGGCCAGGGAGUUCGGACUCAAUUCCCACAAAGGAAAACCAGGCAGAAAUGCACUGAAGAAUACGUGAUCACACAGUGGAGAUUCUCUCCCUCCUGA